rnacentral:rRNA from 1 species
UACGUAGGGUGCAAGCGUUGUCCGGAAUUAUUGGGUUUAAAGGGUGCGUAGGCGGUUCCUUAAGUCAGUUGUGAAAUACGGCAGCUUAACUGUCGAGGUGCAAUUGAUACUGGGGAACUAGAGUACUGAUGAGGUAUGCGGAAUGGACGGUGUAGCGGUGAAAUGCUUAGAUAUCGUCCAGAACACCGAUAGCGAAGGCAGCAUACUAAGGAGUAACUGACGCUGAGGCACGAAAGUGUGGGGAUCAAACAGG